rnacentral:rRNA from 1 species
CAGUAGCCACGGGAAUACAGAGGGUGCAAGCGUUAAUCGGAAUUACUGGGCGUAAAGUGCGCGUAGGUGGUUUGUUAAGUUGGAUGUGAAAUCCCCGGGCUCAACCUGGGAACUGCAUCCAAAACUGGCAAGCUAGAGUAUGGUAGAGGGUGGUGGAAUUUCCUGUGUAGCGGUGAAAUGCGUAGAUAUAGGAAGGAACACCAGUGGCGAAGGCGACCACCUGGACUGAUACUGACACUGAGGUGCGAAAGCGUGGGGAGCAAACAGGAUUAGAUACCCCUGUAGUCCCUGUCUCUUAUAC